rnacentral:rRNA from 1 species
CAGUCGCCACGGGAAUACAGAGGGUGCGAGCGUUAAUCGGAUUUACUGGGCGUAAAGCGUGCGUAGGCGGCUUUUUAAGUCGGAUGUGAAAUCCCUGAGCUUAACUUAGGAAUUGCAUUCGAUACUGGGAAGCUAGAGUAUGGGAGAGGAUGGUAGAAUUCCAGGUGUAGCGGUGAAAUGCGUAGAGAUCUGGAGGAAUACCGAUGGCGAAGGCAGCCAUCUGGCCUAAUACUGACGCUGAGGUACGAAAGCAUGGGGAGCAAACAGGAUUAGAUACCCCAGUAGUCCCUGUCUCUUAUAA